rnacentral:rRNA from 1 species
UCUUGGUAUUUUAGCAUAAUGGAACCACUCUGACCCAUCUCGAACUCAGUUGUGAAACGUUAUAGCGGUGAAAAUACUAGUAGGGCAGCUUGCUGGGAAAAUAACUCAAUGCCAAGAU